CUUUUUCAGAUAUAGAAAAGCUAAGAAAAUUCAUCACCAGCAGACUUACAGCACAAGAAUGUUAAAUAAAGUUCUUCAGGAAGAAGGAAAAUCGUACCAGAUGGAAACCCAAAUCUACAUAAAGGAAUGAAGAGCAUUGAGAAUGGUAAAUAUUGUCACUGGCCACUGAUUUAAGACUGGAAGGAAACAGAAUGGAAGCAAGAGACUACUGUCAUAAUCAAGAUGACGAAGCUAACUUGUCCAAGGGCACACAAUAAGUGGGUGGAGACUCCCAGGUCCCCACCACCCUGAAAUGACCAAUUCAAGGGCUGUUUUCACUGUACAGCCUCUGUACAUUGUACAACACCUCUUUCUAGUAAUAACAUAUCAAUACGAAAGGAACUUCUCAAGAAAUUUUGAUUUUGUUUAUAAAAGUCUAUUCAGAAUAUAUUGGAAGGAAUGGUAAGAGUGGGGUUAGGCUCUUGCACUUCACUGAAAAUUCGUAAAUAACAGAUAUCAAUUAAUAUGGACUUAAACACUUAUUAUAUAUUACCUGGAUACCAUACUAAGGAUUUUAUAAACGCUUUUCUCAAUUAACCCCAACCUCAAUAACCUAUAAAGUAGACACUAUUACGAUCUUCACUGUACAGGUGAAGAAAACCAAUGCCUUAAGAAAAGUUAAAUGAAUUAGAGUAUUAUAAUAUGUACUUGAAUCAUGAGAUCAUGAGGAACUGAUGACCAGCUGUAUGGCUUUCUAGGCCUCUGAAGGUUUUUAAAAAUAAUUGUUGAGGCCAAAGGUUCUGGUUGCUUGUGCCCAUUGGGCGGUGGUGGGAAACUUUAAUGGUUGUAAGAAGAAAGCAAAGCAAUCAACUUGUAACUGAAUGGAUACCCUGCCAGCAUGUUGUAAAUUUUACUGUAUUCGAGCUAACUGACGCUAUCUUCUUCUGUAAAUAGCUUGCUUUGAUAUAGUUCUUGUGCAGGGGCUCCUGCCAUCUGGAAAGAACAUGAUAAAAUGUAGAAAACAACACCUUCACUUAUAUGCCUCUAGUCACCUAGCCCCCAACCCAAAAUAGCAUGAAAGCUUUCUGCCGUCAUGGCUGGGCACUGUUCCCUGCAGGAACAGUCACUGGCCAGUUAAUUAAAGCUCGC